rnacentral:rRNA from 1 species
UACGGGGGGGGCAAGCGUUGUUCGGAAUUACUGGGCGUAAAGGGCGCGUAGGCGGUUCGCUAAGUUGAAUGUGAAAACUCUGGGCUUAACCCAGAGCCUGCAUUCAAUACUGGCGGGCUAGAGUUCUGGAGGGGAUAGCGGAAUUCCUGGUGUAGCGGUGAAAUGCGUAGAUAUCAGGAGGAACACCGGUGGCGAAGGCGGCUAUCUGGACAGAGUCUGACGCUGAUGCGCGAAGGCGUGGGGAGCGAACGGG